GGGGAAUUUUCCGCAAUGGGCGCAAGCCUGACGGAGCAACGCCGCGUGAGGGAGGAAGGCCUGUGGGUUGUAAACCUCUUUUCUCAAGGAAGAACACAAUGACGGUACUUGAGGAAUCAGCAUCGGCUAACUCCGUGCCAGCAGCCGCGGUAAGACGGAGGAUGCAAGCGUUAUCCGGAAUUAUUGGGCGUAAAGCGUCCGUAGGUGGUUAUAAAAGUCUGUUGUUAAAGCCCACAGCUCAACUGUGGAUCGGCAAUGGAAACUGUAUGACUUGAGUGUGGUAGGGGUAGAGGGAAUUCCUAGUGUAGCNGUGAAAUGCGUAGAUAUUAGGAAGAACACCAGUGGCGAAGGCGCUCUACUGGGCCAUAACUGACACUGAUGGACGAAAGCUAGGGGAGCGAAAGGGAUUAGAUACCCCUGUAGUC
rnacentral:rRNA from 1 species